rnacentral:rRNA from 1 species
GACGGAGGAUGCAAGCGUUAUCCGGAAUUAUUGGGCGUAAAGCGUCCGUAGGUGGCAGGCCAAGUCUGUUUUUAAAGAGUACAGCUCAACUGUAUAAAGGGAAUGGAAACUGGUCAGCUAGAGUUCGGUAGGGGCAGAGGGAAUUCCCGGUGUAGCGGUGAAAUGCGUAGAUAUCGGGAAGAACACCAGUGGCGAAAGCGCUCUGCUGGGCCUGAACUGACACUGAUGGACGAAAGCUAGGGGAGCGAAAGGG